GGCGCAUCAUAACCGCCGCCGCCCUCGCCACACCGCCUCCCCAUUGGCUGCGGCGCCGCCCCCAACCCAGAGCGCUGCGGCCUCCGUGAGCGGGGCCUGGGCGAAGGGGGCGGGGCGUCGAGGGGGCGCCCCGGCGGUCGCAGGGAAGGGGGAGAGGGGAGCGAGGCGCGGGGGGCGCCGGGAGAGCGCCUCCGCGGUGGGACGGAGCCGGACUGGGCCGAGCGAGGGAGGCUCCUGAGCCUCGGAGGACCCCGGGGUUGGCUUUGGGAGCUGAAAGUUUCCUUGGACCCCUCGGAAGCCCCGUGACAUCAGAGGCCGGGCCUGGCAGGGGCAGGCAGGAAACGUGUCUGGAGGCUACUGCCCUCUCCGCGUGACCUUGGGCGAGCAGCCUCCUCCUGGGGCUCAGUGGGUGUGAUUUUGUAACAUUUCCCAGCGCUGCCACAGGCGCGUCUCGCCCUGUCCAACGCGGAGCCCGAAGAAUUACUAAGAAACCGAGGUCUGAAGGAGGGAAGAGGUGACGGGCUCGAGGCCACACGGUGGGCCAGGCUGGGCCCGGCUGCACGCCGGCUACCGGGGCCCAGCCCUCUGCACGCCUCCCGCAGCCUCAGUUUCCCUGUCCGUGGUACUGAGGAUGCUCGGGCCUAGAAGUUCAGGGCUGGAGGCCCAGGGACCGUCGAGGGAGGGGCAUCAUCCCCGCCAUGGGGCCGCCGCAACUGCCCAGAGCACAGGCCAAAGGCACACCAGAAGACUACAUUUCCUAGCCCCCCACCCCCUUGCAGUGUCUGGGACCAUGUGACUCCUUAAUUAGGUCACUUCUCUCUCCUGGGAGGCCCUCUCUGCCCUCUCUAAGUCUAACUAGUGGCAAAGGAUCUAAGGGAAGAAACCUGGCAGAGUUACUAGUCCCAAGAAGCCUGGGUCCCUGAAUCACCACAUGGAAGUCUACGCGCCCACCACCUGAAUGGACUAAGGAAGCUGCAGGAUGAAGACAACAGCAUCACAAGGAGGAAGCCAGGAUCCCUGUGUUACCACAAGGAGGAGAGAUGCCUAACCAAGACCGUCUGCAAGGAUUUUGUGUGAGCCAGAAGCAGAGCUGUAUGGUGUUCAGCCACUGAGAUUUGAGGGCUGUUUGUUACAGCAGUUGACCUAUCCUGACUGACACAUCACAUCAUUCCUUUCCCCACCAUGUGUCUAACAUGCUACCAAAUUGAAUUUUAAGUAAAUUAGUACUUAUAAAUUAAGUACAAAUGCUUUUCAAAUUCACAUGAAUCUUUGGUAAAUAAAACUGGUUGUAAAAUUAUUGAUAAAUAUAGA
rnacentral:lncRNA from 10 species